rnacentral:rRNA from 1 species
UACGGAGGGAGCUAGCGUUGUUCGGAAAUACUGGGCGUAAAGGGCUCGUAGGCGGCCAACUAAGUCAGACGUGAAAUCCCUCGGCUUAACCGGGGAACUGCAUCUGAUACUGGAUGGCUUGAGUUCGGGAGAGGGAUGUGGAAUUCCAGGUGUAGCGGUGAAAUGCGUAGAUAUCUGGAGGAACACCGGUGGCGAAGGCGGCAUCCUGGACCGACACUGACGCUGAUGAGCGAAAGCCAGGGGAGCAAACGGG